rnacentral:misc_RNA from 1 species
GAAGUGCGAGAAGUGUCAUGACUUGCAGAUUCCCGAGAGCUGACAAAUUUCUGAAUGCAAAUGGCGGUCGUUCAAAACGGCCAUGUAUUGCAGAGUGUAGUUGUUCAUACUCAUCAUCCCCCUCCAACAUGUACAAGGUUGAGGAGAUCGGGAUCUGCACUUGCGAUUUUAUCACGCGAGUGUGAAAGAACAGAGGAAUCUCGACCUCUCGUAAUGAGAGGAGAGAAACUUCGGAGACAUGACAUCGGGCGAAAGCCUUGAUGCGUGACAAUGAAGUUCGAUCGAGAUGACAAACAAUGAUCAACACAUCCACCUCUGCAAUGCAGGAAUACCCGCUGAACUUAA